CAGCCGCCACGGUAAUACAGAGGGUGCGAGCGUUAAUCGGAUUUACUGGGCGUAAAGCGUGCGUAGGCGGCUUCUUAAGUCGGAUGUGAAAUCCCUGAGCUUAACUUAGGAAUUGCAUUCGAUACUGGGAAGCUAGAGUAUGGGAGAGGAUGGUAGAAUUCCAGGUGUAGCGGUAAAAUGCGUAGAGAUCUGGAGGAAUACCGAUGGCGAAGGCAGCCAUCUGGCCUAAUACUGACGCUGAGGUACGAAAGCAUGGGGAGCAAACAGGAUUAGAUACCCCGGUAGUCCCUGUCUCUUAUAA
rnacentral:rRNA from 1 species